rnacentral:rRNA from 1 species
UACGUAGGGUGCGAGCGUUAAUCGGAAUUACUGGGCGUAAAGCGUGCGCAGGCGGUUCGUUAUGUCCGUUGUGAAAGCCCCGGGCUCAACCUGGGAACUGCAUUGGAAACUAACGGGCUCGAGUGUGGCAGAGGGGGGUGGAAUUCCACGUGUAGCAGUGAAAUGCGUAGAGAUGUGGAGGAACACCGAUGGCGAAGGCAGCCCCCUGGGCUAACACUGACGCUCAGGUACGAAAGCGUGGGGAGCAAACAGG